rnacentral:rRNA from 1 species
AGCCCAACAGCUAGCUCAACCUCUAAAACGCAACAAGCCACUAUAUAUAAACCCCAAUAACCUCAACACCCCGAAUCAAACCAUUUUUCCACCCAAGUAUGGGCGACAGAAAAGGACUUACCGAAGCAAUAGCGACAGUAUCCGCAAGGGAAUGCUGAAAGAGAAAUGAAACAAAUCAGUUAAGCACAAAGAAGCAGAGCUUAAUUCUCGUACCUUUUGCAUCAUGAUUUAGCAAGAAAAGAUCAAGCAAAGAGCACUUUAGUUUGAUUCCCCGAAACCAAGUGAGCUACUCCAAGACAGCCUUUUAGGGCGAACCCGUCUCUGUGGCAAAAGAGUGGGGAGAGCUUUGAGUAGAGGUGACAGACCUACCGAACUUGGUUAUAGCUGGUUGUCCAGGAAUUGAAUAGAAGUUCAGCCUUUCGUCCUCUUCCCCCACGACCGGCCACAUUUCCAGGCCCCAAAGAGGACUAAAGAGUUAGUCAAAGGGGGUACAGCCCCUUUGAAAAAGAUACAACUUUCCCAGAAGGGUUAAGAUCAUAGCAUUAAUUAAGGGAUUGUGUUCUAGUUGGCCUAAAAGCAGCCACCCAUGCAGAAAGCGUUAAAGCUCAUACACCCCUGCCCCCCAUUAUCCGGACCACACCAUCUUACCCCCUACACAUACUGGACCUCCCCAUACCUCUAUGGGAGAGAUUAUGCUAAUAUGAGUAAUAAGAGACCCAGAUUCUCUCCACGCACAAGUGUACAUCGGAACGAACCCACACCGACAACUAACGGCCCCAAGAAAGAGGGAAUUGAAAUAUAAUGGCCAAGCCACUAGAAAAACAUCCACACUCCAACCGUUAACCUUACACCAGAGUGCACACAAGGAAAGACUAAAGGAAAAAGAAGGAACUCGGCA